rnacentral:rRNA from 1 species
CAGCACGGACUUCGGUCUGGUGGCGAGUGGCGAACGGGUGAGUAACAUAUCGGAACGUAUCCAAUAAUGGGGGAUAACUAAUCGAAAGGUUGGCUAAUACCGCAUACGCCCUACGGGGGAAAGCAGGGGAUCUUCGGACCUUGCGUUAAUGGAGCGGCUGAUAUCUGAUUAGCUAGUUGGUGAGGUAAAGGCUCACCAAGGCGACGAUCAGUAGCUGGUCUGAGAGGACGACCAGCCACACUGGAACUGAGACACGGUCCAGACUCC